UGACUAGCAACAUAUCACAAG
rnacentral:snRNA from 1 species